UCUCGCGCGUCCGCGCUGUGGCUCCCGCUGGCCUGACUGCCUGACUGACCGUCCGCCAGCCGCCCUCAGAGGCCCUCGCUCAGGUGCCCGGGCCGCGUGCUUGUCUCUCGCUCUCCUCACCUCAGGUUCCCGCCCCGAGGGUCGGGACGGAGGACGCAGAGAGGCGGCGAGAGUGGCCAGGAUGCGGCCUGCAGGACUGCGGCGGGCCUGAGGUGAACGGACCGUUGCGGGGCCUUCCCGUCAAGCCCUCAGGCUCCAGCGCAGCGCCCGGGACGCAGACGGAGGUAGAGAAACUGAGGCCCAAGGAGAGGAAUGGACUUGCCUGGACAUUCCAGGAAUCCAGAGGCAACUCGGGCCAAGAUGUGGCCCCCAGCAUGAGGUGUACCAGGGAAGAGAACGUGGCUCACCGGAGUGGGAUGCGGAUGGCGAUGUAGCG